CGCUGGCGGCGUGCCUAACACAUGCAAGUCGUGCGAGAAAGUUCCUUCGGGAGCGAGUAAAGCGGCGCACGGGUGAGUAACACGUAGGUAACCUGCCCCCCAGUCUGGAACAACUAGAGGAAACUCUAGCUAAUGCCGGAUGAGACCACGAUCCCUUCGGGGGGUUGCGGCCAAAGAUGGCCUCUACUUGUAAGCUAUCGCUGAGGGAUGGGCCUGCGGGCCAUUAGCUUGUUGGUGAGGUAACGGCUCACCAAGGCUGUGAUGGCUAGCUGGUCUGAGAGGAUGACCAGCCACACUGGGACUGAGACACGGCCCAGACUCCUACGGGAGGCAGCAGUGGGGAAUAUUGCGCAAUGGGCGAAAGCCUGACGCAGCGACGCCGCGUGGGUGAUGAAGGCCUUCGAGUCGUAAAGCCCUGUCGCAGGGGAAGAAUAAGCAUCGGUAUAAUACGCCGGUGCCCUGACGGUACCCUGCAAGAAAGCACCGGCUAACUCCGUG
rnacentral:rRNA from 1 species